GGCCCAGACUCCUACGGGAGGCAGCAGUGGGGAAUAUUGCACAAUGGGGGGAACCCUGAUGCAGCGACGCCGCGUGAGUGAAGAAGUAUUUCGGUAUGUAAAGCUCUAUCAGCAGGGAAGAAGAUGACGGUACCUGACUAAGAAGCCCCGGCUAACUACGUGCCAGCAGCCGUGGUAAUACGUAGGGGGCAAGCGUUAUCCGGAUUUACUGGGUGUAAAGGGAGCGUAGACGGCAGGGCAAGUCUGGAGUGAAAGCCCGGGGCCCAACCCCGGGACUGCUUUGGAAACUGCCAUGCUAGAGUGCUGGAGAGGUAAGCGGAAUUCCUAGUGUAGCGGUGAAAUGCGUAGAUAUCAGGAGGAACAUCGGUGGCGUAAGCGCUUUACUGGGCCGUAAUUGACACUGAGGAACGAAAGCCAGGGUAGCAAAUGGGAUUAGAUACCCGCGUA
rnacentral:rRNA from 1 species